CACAAAACAGAACUAAACACUCUUUUAUGCUCUCCAUUUAUUUCCAACAAACAAAGUCGAUUUUCUAACAAAUUUCUCAAUAAACACUCGACUUCACACUUUUUUUUUUUCUUUCUUUUUCUUUUCUUCUUUUUUUUUUCUUUUUUUUUUCUUUCCACAACUUUUCUAGAGCUUAUAAGAGUAAAUAGUAGCACAAAAUCAUCCCUUCUUUUUCACAACCCACUUUGAACAUUCACCACAUAAGGAUCCCCAUAUACUACAUCACCCC
rnacentral:lncRNA from 1 species